rnacentral:rRNA from 1 species
UAGGGAAUAUUGGUUAAUGGGCGAAAGCCCGAACCAGCAACGCCGCGUGCACGAUGAAGGCCUUCGGGUCGUAAAGUGCUUUUUGGAGGGGUGAGGAAGGACAGUACCUUCAGAAUAAGCCUCGGCUAACUACGUGCCAGCAGCCGCGGUAAGACGUAGGAGGCGAGCGUUAUCCGGAUUUACUGGGCGUAAAGCGUGUGCAGGCGGUUUGGUUAGUUGGAUGUGAAAGCUCCUGGCUUAACUGGGAGAGGUCGUUCAAUACUGCCAGACUUGAGGAUGGGAGAGGAAGGUGGAAUUCCGAGUGUAGUGGUGAAAUGCGUAGAUAUUCGGAGGAACACCAGUGGCGAAAGCGGCCUUCUGGCCCAUCUCUGACGCUCAUACACGAAAGCUAGGGGAGCAAACG